AGGAACUGAGGGUGAAAUAAGGAUUUCUCUGGAAUCCCCUUCACAUGAUCUUGCUCCCUCUGACCUGGAAGAGGCAUUAAUGAUGAGUUCCAUGUGUAUCUGUCUUUGAUAACCCCAGGGAUUUAGAAAUUGUUCUGCCCACUAACUUUCUGCUGCUUUUUAUUAGAACACAUUCACACUUGUGCCAAGCAGGAAGCUCUCACCUGUUCACCACCUUCUUCCAAGGUGAAAUCUAAACUGAAUAGGAGAAAAAUGUAUUGUGAGAAACUGGCCCUUCUUCUGGAGCGCUCCACCACAGAGAGAGAGCAGGAGAGACUGGAAAGGGGAAAAGCAAGCCUUGGGUACAUGACUGGCAGAGAUAAGAUCCAAGUCGACCACAAAAUCUUUUUGAAGCCUUCUCCCUCCUUCUGUUCUGCUGCUGCUUGGUUUUAUCAAUGAAUCAAGUAUUUGGUGGAUGUUUUGGCCAGUGGAUGAAUUUUGUCUGCAGGAAAUCCACAUGGAUUUUGUGGAUACUUAGAAGAUGUGCAAGGGCAGAUAAUAUGAAUAACGUUCUGUUAUCCUUAUAAUGAAGAUAAUAUAUACAAAAAAGGCAGAAAAUACAACUUCACUCAAAUAUGCCAACUUAUAUCAACUCAAUAAACCUUGGCUUGACUUCAAUAACCAAACUAUUUCAAUACUGGUGGGGAAUUGUUUCUUUUAACUUUUUGGUGAAGAGGCAACAAAAUUUACACUGCAAAGUGAACUGAAUUCCUCCUCCCAGAGAAUUUAAAACAGUAGAAGGAAUUACAGCUGCUUCAAUGGUGCCUGUUCACCACCCUUCAUUGCACAGGCACACAGGGGACAUCAGGCUAUGAUGUGCUUUAACAUUUUCUGAAGCAAAUCUUCAAUAGGAGAGGCAUGUGUCUUGGUAGGUGCAUAGAGAGAUUACUGAUAGUAUUCAAAACCAAAUUGCAUUUCAUACAUACCCCUUUUUAUCUUAAUUUAAUUCUAGUAUUCUUUAAAAAAAAGAAUAAUUCAAGCCUUUUAUAGUAUGAACACUAUGUUCCCUUUGCGAAUGUGCAUAUAAAUGGAAGAGAGAAUAAAAAAGUAAAAACUAGUUAUCUGGGGAAACAUUAAUGCAUUUAGCAGUGGUUAUUGUUCAAACACAGAUUCUGCUGCAUACCAUUAUGUAAAAUAAUAAUACCAUUUUCCUUUUAAAAUUGCAAGAGUUAGAAAGAGAUUAUAAUUAAGGCAAUGUUUUGACCUCCCAGUUUCUCAUGAUCCAAACAAACCAACACAAAAAAAAGAUUCCCACGUGAAUUGUAGCAGAUCCGUUCGUGCACCAGCAGAAAGCAACCUGCCACCAAAUUCAGCGCCUCAGCCCUUCCCCCUCAGCUUUUCUUCAGCUCUUUUCUGGGCACCAGAAGAUGGUCCCAUGUUCUGUGAUGGCCUGACAGGCCAGGAUCCCAGGAUCUCAGGAACUUGCCAGCCAUCUGUCAUAUGCGACUUUAUGAAGUGCAAGGAGAGCUUGUGCCUGGGGGAAGGGGUUGC